GAUGAACGCUGGCGGCGUGCCUAAUACAUGCAAGUCGAGCGAACAGAUGAGGAGCUUGCUCCUCUGACGUUAGCGGCGGACGGGUGAGUAACACGUGGAUAACCUACCUAUAAGACUGGGAUAACUUCGGGAAACCGGAGCUAAUACCGGAUAAUAUAUUGAACCGCAUGGUUCAAUAGUGAAAGACGGUUUUGCUUUCACUUAUAGAUGGAUCCGCGCCGCAUUAGCUAGUUGGUAAGGUAACGGCUUACCAAGGCAACGAUGCGUAGCCGACCUGAGAGGGUGAUCGGCCACACUGGAACUGAGACACGGUCCAGACUCCUACGGGAGGCAGCAGUAGGGAAUCUUCCGCAAUGGGCGAAAGCCUGACGGAGCACCGCCGCGUGAGUGAUGAAGGUCUUCGGAUCGUAAAACUCUGUUAUUAGGGAAGAACAAAUGUGUAAGUAAAUAUGCACGUCUUGACGGUACCUAAUCAGAAAGCCACGGCUAACUACGUG
rnacentral:rRNA from 1 species